UCAAUUCGAUAAUUUUCUACGUAGAAAACUACUUGGUUCUUCGUGAAAUAAGAAAGCCUGUGAAAAAAUGAAUUAUGGUUUCUCUGAUGUCUAGAGUUAUUAGUUAGCUCUGCCCCGCCCUACUAUUAUAUCCUUUGUUGCUCACAUUAUUGGUAGCGGAUUUUUCUCAUUUAUGUUUCUUCUGACAUAUUGCUCCAAUGCCAUCCACACCACUUUUGAUUUUUUUCCUAUGUUUUAUCCCUCCUUUCAGUAUUUGCUACUCAAGAUGAUUAUGCUAACUCGCCAAUCUAAAGGUGCUUAAACAGUUUCAUCUAUGACACAACAUAAAUUAUCAUUUGGAGUCGAGAUAUCCAUCAGUUCAACAACACAACCAUGAAGAUUACAUCUCAUCAGACAAAUUGAAGUAUGUUUGGAUCUCGAUGACCACCUUGAUGACAUCAGCAAGGACCGGGUGAAUAUAAUGCUCUUCAAUUGAAGUUUCUGUGUGGAAUUGGCUAUUGUCCUGUUGGUGCCCUCUCAUGGGAGGUGAAAACAACUUCAGGAAAACUGGUACUCAUUUCAAGACUUCUCACAUGGACAUAUCUGCUAUCUCACCUUAGACCAAGUAUUAGAUUGUGAUUUGUGAUUCUGCUGGUGUUGUGACAACAUUUUAUAUGUGCUCGGAAGUUGAUGCAGCGACGUUGAGAGAUGAGAUAGAUUUUGAAUUCUUGGGAAACAGAAUAGGAUUGCUUUAUCUUAUUCAAAAGCUAGAGCCCUAUUUUUGUAGACAUGAUCAAAUUAAUAAAACAAAUCAUGUUGUAUCCUCUUUUAUCUUCUAUUUGCUGUUGUAUUGGUUUACAUUUAUGGUUCAGUAUACAAGGCUAGACACUUGUGCUA